GACAAUUGAGCUUGUUGGGUUGCUAYUAGUCGGGUGUCUUCGGGGAUGUCUACCGUAAAGGUGCAUGAGUGGUGUUUGGUUUGUUACAGGUGGUUGGCUCUUUGCUUGCGCAACAACUUCCACCCGGCAUACCUCUUCAGUCUUGUAUCAAUGCUUGUAUUGCGUUGGAUGCAUUGWGGGUUUCUUGUGUUGCAUGCCUAAUUAAUGGUAUCACUCGAUGAAUUGGUUUUCGUUUCGUCUUGCAAGGCCUAUGGGAUGUGAGAUGAACCUUGAAGCAACCUUUGUGAUCCACUGUUUCGAUGCAUAAGUGUUGAUUUUGUGGCUCAUUGAGUGUUGCUCGGCAUCAUGGAUAUGGAACCCUGUGUGGGCAUGGAAUCUUAAUGGUUCUUGUUUGCCCAAGUUUAGCUUUUCUAAAACGAUUGUCUAUCAUGUGUUAACGUGGUAGACAACUUCGAAUGUGAAUGCUACCUGGUUGAUCCUGCCAGUAGUCA
rnacentral:misc_RNA from 1 species